UAGUUGGUCUACCAACUGCUGUGGCCAUCUUUGGUGUUUGGUGCCAAGAAGGGAAAAGAUAAUUUCACAUUCAUUGAAAAGUUCUCCAUUCCAGGCUCCACUGUAAAGGUAUCAAUUAACAACCACUGAAUACCUGUUCUGCUAGUUGGAGAGCUGGACCAGGAGAAGCCUUUUGUUUCCUACAUGGAAACCCUUGAGGAGAAAGCCAUGGGAGGGAUACAUUGAACCUUGCUGUGCCAAGGCCCCGUGGAACUCAGAAGAGGCUGGAGAAGGAAGAAACAACAUCUCUCCUUGUUCAGUGAUGUUUUGAUUGUAUCUAAUAAUCUGCAUAAGAGAAAUUUUAAGAUAAAAUAUGUCAUCCCACUGAGUUAUCUGUGGAUGGGUGACUAUGUGGACAUAGUCCGGACAGACAACAGCUCUGCUUGCAAGUCGAUUCUCCUGUUCUGGCCCAUGGGAAAUUUUGUGGCUACCUUUCGUUCCAUGGAACAGAAAGAUCGGUGGUAUUUUUAUGUCCAAAGGUAUUGUACCAGUAUUCGUAUUUUAAUUCCUUG